rnacentral:rRNA from 1 species
AGCGAACGCUGGCGGCAGGCCUAACACAUGCAAGUCGAACGAACCUUUCGGGGUUAGUGGCGGACGGGUGAGUAACACGUGGGAACGUGCCUUUAGGUUCGGAAUAACUCAGGGAAACUUGUGCUAAUACCGAAUGUGCCCUUCGGGGGAAAGAUUUAUCGCCUUUAGAGCGGCCCGCGUCUGAUUAGCUAGUUGGUUGAGGUAAUGGCUCACCAAGGCGACGAUCAGUAGCUGGUCUGAGAGGAUGAUCAGCCACAUUGGGACUGAGACACGGCCCAAACUCCUACGGGAGGCAGGAGUGGGGAAUCUUGCGGAAUGGGCGAAAGCCUGACGCAGCCAUGCCGCGUGAAUGAUGAAGGUCUUAGGAUUGUAAAAUUCUUUCACCGGGGACGAUAAUGACGGUACCCGGAGAAGAAGCACCGGCUAACUUCGUG